rnacentral:rRNA from 1 species
GAUGAACGCUGGCAGCGUGCCUAAUACAUGCCAGUCGAGCGAACAGACGAGGAGCUUGCUCCUCUGACGUUAGCGGCGGACGGGUGAGUAACACGUGGAUAACCUACCUAUAAGACUGGGAUAACUUCGGGAAACCGGAGCUAAUACCGGAUAAUAUAUUGAACCGCAUGGUUCAAUAGUGAAAGACGGUUUUGCUGUCACUUAUAGAUGGAUCCGCGCCGCUUUAGCUAGUUGGUAAGGUAAAGGCUUACCAAGGCAACGAUGCGUAGCCGACCUGAGAGGGUGAUCGGCCACACUGGAACUGAGACACGGUCCAGACUCCUACGGGAGGCAGCAGUAGGGAAUCUUCCGCAAUGGGCGAAAGCCUGACGGAGCAACGCCGCGUGAGUGAUGAAGGUCUUCGGAUCGUAAAACUCUGUUAUUAGGGAAGAACAAAUGUGUAAGUAACUAUGCACGUCUUGACGGUACCUAAUCAGAAAGCCACGGCUAACUACGUG